rnacentral:rRNA from 1 species
CCAAUAGCGUAUAUUAAAGUUGUUGCAGUUAAAAAGCUCGUAGUUGAAUUUCGGGAUUGGCGCAUCGGUCGUGCCUCACGGGGUAUGAACUGGUGCAGUCAAUUUCUCACCUUCUGGAGAACCGCGAUGUCCUUAAUUGGAUGCCGCGGGGAACCAGGACCUUUACUUUGAAAAAAUUAGAGUGUUUAAAGCAGGCAUUUUUGCUUGAAUACAUUAGCAUGGAAUAAUAAAAUAGGACGGCAUGGUUCUAUUUUGUUGGUUUCUAGGACCACCGUAAUGAUUAAUAGGGAUAGUUGGGGGCAUUAGUAUUCAAUUGUCAGAGGUGAAAUUCUUGGAUUUAUUGAAGACUAACUACUGCGAAAGCAUUUGCCAAGGAUGUUUUCAUUAAUCAAGAACGAAAGUUAGGGGAUCGAAGACGAUCAGAUACCGUCGUAGUCUUAACCAUAAACUAUGCCGACUAGGAAUCAGACGAUGUUAAUUUUUUAAUGACUCGUUUGGCACCUUAC